rnacentral:snoRNA from 14 species
ACCCGAGGGCCAUCGUCGGACGCCCCCGCCUGCCCAAUCGGGCUGCUCCGAAACAACACCCUCGCAGA